GAAUAUAAUCGAGUGUGAGUGCGAGAGAGCAAGAGCGAAUGGGAGCCACAAUAGUGUCCUUAUGUGAGCGGCCGUUGCCGUUGCUGUUGCCCCCACCCUCACUCCUGCACUCUCCAGCUCCUUUUUACUUUUGCGGA
rnacentral:miRNA from 1 species